rnacentral:rRNA from 1 species
UACGUAGGGCGCAAGCGUUGUCCGGAAUUAUUGGGCGUAAAGAGCUCGUAGGCGGCUUGUCGCGUCGACUGUGAAAACCCACGGCUCAACCGUGUGGCCCGCAGUCGAUACGGGCAGGCUAGAAUUCGGUAGGGGAGACUGGAAUUCCUGGUGUAGCGGUGAAAUGCGUAGAUAUCAGGAGGAACACCGGUGGCGAAGGCGGCUCUCUGGACCACAACUGACGCUGAGGCGCGACAGCUAGGGGAGCAAACAGG